rnacentral:rRNA from 1 species
CACGCCGUAAACGAUGAGCACUAAGUGUCGGAGUAAAAUUCGGUGCUGCAGUUAACACAGUAAGUGCUCCGCCUGGGGAGUACGGUCGCAAGACUGAAACUCAAAGGAAUUGACGGGGACUCGCACAAGCGGUGGAGCAUGCGGUUUAAUUCGAUGCAACGCGAAGAACCUUACCAGGUCUUGACAUACUGUUGCUGGGGUUAGAGAUAAUCCGUUUCUUCGGAACAACAGAUACAGGUGG